AAUUAAAGGGGAUGAAAGAUACAUUGGUCCCUGCAGUGGGAAGUUUCCUUGACAAUGCAAUUAUUGAUUCCAGAAGGCUGAACAAAUGUUGACAGAGGAACACACUGUUUGCUUAUGUCUAAUCUUCCCAUCUGACUUAUAUAAAUGUCACAAAUGAAUCUCAGACAUGUGCCCAAUAUCAAAUAUCCAUACGAUGGCCCUGGAAAGAGGCAAUCUACAUUUAUGGCUGAUGAGAAGAUGGAUUUUUAGCUUGAAAGAAACUUAUUACUGGGGAGAGGAAGUAUAAAUGAAUGGAGAGAGCUAUGAAGAGGUUGAGAGAAUACAGCCAAGGCACAUGACAGAAUUGCUCUGUUGAAGUUUUGCAAGGUCAAAUGACUCACUUUGUCUAAUGGAACGGGAACGAACAAUUUUUUUGUGUCACGUUUGAACAGAUACCUUUGAGAAGUUUAUGAUUCUCCAAGUUCUCUUUCUCCUACUGUGGCACCUACUGACAAGAUAAAUGUGUAGAGGUUCCUGAGUCUAGGGGCACUGGAACCAGCUGACUGAUCUAUGGAAGUUCCCUUGGUCUCCAUUUGUUUAGAAAAGGGAUGAAGAAACUGAGGCCCACAGAAGGUGGGUGAUACCUGCAAAAUCACAAGCUUUCAUGGUGAAAGAAGAGGGCAAAACUCAACCCGUCUCUUUAGACU
rnacentral:lncRNA from 10 species